rnacentral:rRNA from 1 species
GGGUAAUUGGGGGAGCCCUAACACAUGCAGUCGAGCGGUAGCACAGAGAGCUUGCUCUCGGGUGACGAGCGGCGGACGGGUGAGUAAUGUCUGGGAAACUGCCUGAUGGAGGGGGAUAACUACUGGAAACGGUAGCUAAUACCGCAUAAUGUCGCAAGACCAAAGUGGGGGACCUUCGGGCCUCAUGCCAUCAGAUGUGCCCAGAUGGGAUUAGCUAGUAGGUGGGGUAACGGCUCACCUAGGCGACGAUCCCUAGCUGGUCUGAGAGGAUGACCAGCCACACUGGAACUGAGACACGGUCCAGACUCCUACGGGAGGCAGCAGUGGGGAAUAUUGCACAAUGGGCGCAAGCCUGAUGCAGCCAUGCCGCGUGUGUGAAGAAGGCCUUCGGGUUGUAAAGCACUUUCAGCGGGGAGGAAGGCGGUGAGGUUAAUAACCUCGUCGAUUGACGUUACCCGCAGAAGAAGCACCGGCUAACUCCGUGCCAGCAGCCGCGGUAAUACGGAGGGUGCAAGCGUUAAUCGGAAUUACUGGGCGUAAAGCGCACGCAGGCGGUCUGUCAAGUCGGAUGUGAAAUCCCCGGGCUCAACCUGGGAACUGCAUUCGAAACUGGCAGGCUAGAGUCUUGUAGAGGGGGGUAGAAUUCCAGGUGUAGCGGUGAAAUGCGUAGAGAUCUGGAGGAAUACCGGUGGCGAAGGCGGCCCCCUGGACAAAGACUGACGCUCAGGUGCGAAAGCGUGGGGAGCAAACAGGAUUAGAUACCCUGGUAGUCCACGCCGUAAACGAUGUCGAUUUGGAGGUUGUGCCCUUGAGGCGUGCUUCCGGAGCUAACGCGUUAAAUCGACCGCCUGGGGAGUACGGCCGCAAGGUUAAACUCAAAUGAAUUGACGGGGGCCCGCACAAGCGGUGGAGCAUGUGGUUUAAUUCGAUGCAACGCGAAGAACCUUA